rnacentral:rRNA from 1 species
AUUGAACGCUGGCGGCAGGCCUAACACAUGCAAGUCGAGCGAGCGGCGGACGGGUGAGCAAUGUCUGGGAAACUGCCUGAUGGAUGGGGAUAACUACUGGAAACGGUAGCUAAUACCGCAUACCAUCAGAUGUGCCCAGAUGGGAUUAGCUAGGAGGGGGGGUAAUGGCUCACCUAGGCGCAGAUCCCUAGCUGGUCUGAGAGGAUGACCAGCCACACUGGAACUGGGCCACGGUCCAGACUCCUACGGGAGGCAGCAGUGGGGAAUAUUGCACAAUGGGCGCAAGCCUGAUGCAGCCAUGCCGCGUGUAUGAAGAAGGCCUUCGGGUUGUAAAGUACUUUCAGCGGGGAGGCGUUACCAGCAGAAGAAGCACCGGCUAACUCCGUGCCAGCAGCCGCGGUAAUAC